UCAGUGAGAGGGCGCCCUCUGUCGGAUCACAUGGCACAUAGCUCUAAACUCUCCAGGCUAACCUAUACUACCGUACUAAAUAGUAUGUCUCCUGAGUAGCACGCCGUCACUACUUAGUAGGGUAGUAUACGAGGACGAAGACAACCUUUGACAGCUGUGGAAGGUGCUGUGGAAAAAGUCCCCUCAGGCGAAUAAUUUCCGACAGAAGAGGACGUGUCGCGUGACACCACAAAGAAGGGUUGAAAGAGGUGCUUUCACUGAACGGGACACGAGAAAUGUAGCACAGUGGAAGUGCCAAGGAAAUCGGACCCGACGAAGCUUUCGAACGUGACUUCCAGACCGUCCUUUAACCCGGCGCAGGAAUCUCCCGGCAACUUCAGUCGGAGGAGGGCCUGCAUGUCCAAAUUCCUCCUUGUCAGUCUUUGGAGUCUUUGAUCCACUAGGGGGCAGCACCACCAUUUUGCAGCCAUUCAGCA
ensembl:lncRNA